rnacentral:rRNA from 1 species
UCCUGGCUCAGAUUGAACGCUGGCGGCAGGCCUAACACAUGCAAGUCGAGCGGAAACGAGUUAUCUGAACCUUCGGGGAACGAUAACGGCGUCGAGCGGCGGACGGGUGAGUAAUGCCUAGGAAAUUGCCCUGAUGUGGGGGAUAACCAUUGGAAACGAUGGCUAAUACCGCAUGAUGCCUACGGGCCAAAGAGGGGGACCUUCGGGCCUCUCGCGUCAGGAUAUGCCUAGGUGGGAUUAGCUAGUUGGUGAGGUAAGGGCUCACCAAGGCGACGAUCCCUAGCUGGUCUGAGAGGAUGAUCAGCCACACUGGAACUGAGACACGGUCCAGACUCCUACGGGAGGCAGCAGUGGGGAAUAUUGCACAAUGGGCGCAAGCCUGAUGCAGCCAUGCCGCGUGUAUGAAGAAGGCCUUCGGGUUGUAAAGUACUUUCAGUCGUGAGGAAGGCGGCGUCGUUAAUAGCGGCGUUGUUUGACGUUAGCGACAGAAGAAGCACCGGCUAACUCCGUGCCAGCAGCCGCGGUAAUACGGAGGGUGCGAGCGUUAAUCGGAAUUACUGGGCGUAAAGCGCAUGCAGGUGGUUUGUUAAGUCAGAUGUGAAAGCCCGGGGCUCAACCUCGGAAUAGCAUUUGAAACUGGCAGACUAGAGUACUGUAGAGGGGGGUAGAAUUUCAGGUGUAGCGGUGAAAUGCGUAGAGAUCUGAAGGAAUACCGGUGGCGAAGGCGGCCCCC